rnacentral:rRNA from 1 species
UACGUAGGGUGCAAGCGUUGUCCGGAUUUACUGGGCGUAAAGAGCGCGCAGGCGGUCGUUCAAGUCGCGUGUGAAAGCCCCCGGCUCAACUGGGGAGGGUCACGCGAUACUGAUCGACUCGAAGGCAGGAGAGGGUAGUGGAAUUCCCGGUGUAGUGGUGAAAUGCGUAGAUAUCGGGAGGAACACCAGUGGCGAAGGCGGGUCUCUGGACAGUUCCUGACGCUGAGGCACGAAGGUCAGGGGAGCAAACGGG